rnacentral:rRNA from 1 species
UAUACUUGAGUUUGGUUGAUGUUGGCGGAAUGUAUCAUGUAGCGGUGAAAUGCAUAGAUAUGAUACAGAACACCGAUUGCGAAGGCAGCUGACAAAACCAAAACUGACGCUGAUAGACGAAAGCGUGGGGAGCGAACAGGAUUAGAUACCCUGGUAGUCCACGCCGUAAACGAUGAUCACUCGUUCUUAGCGAUACACCGUUAGGGACUGAGCGAAAGCAUUAAGUGAUCCACCUGGGGAGUACGUUCGCAAGAAUGAAACUCAAAGGAAUUGACGGGGGCCCGCACAAGCGGAGGAACAUGUGGUUUAAUUCGAUGAUACGCGAGGAACCUUACCUGGGCUUGAAUGCUAAGCGUCUUCGGACGUAGACCAUCGAAAGAUGGCUUAAAUUUGCAAGGUGCUGCAUGGUUGUCGUCAGCUCGUGCCGUGAGGUGUCGGGUUAAGUCCCAUAACGAGCGCAACCCUCAUCCUUAGUUGCCAACAGUUCGGCUGGGAACUCUAAGGAAACUGCCAUCGUAAGAUGUGAGGAAGGUGGGGAUGACGUCAAAUCAGCACGGCCCUUAUGUCCAGGGCUACACACGUGUUACAAUGGUCGGUACAAAAGGUUGCCACCUGGUGACAGGGAGCUAAUCCAAAAAACCGGCCCCAGUUCGGAUUGGAGUCUGCAAUUCGACUCCAUGAAGCCGGAUUCGCUAGUAACCGCGUAUCAGCAACGACGCGGUGAAUACGUUCCCGGGCCUUGUACACACCGCCCGUCAAGCCAUGGAAGCUGGGUGCACCUGAAGUCCGUGACCGCAAGGAGCGGCCGAAGGUGAAACUAGUGACUGGGGCUAAGUCGUAACAAGGUAGCC